UACGUAGGCAGCAAGCGUUGUUCGGAAUUACUGGGCGUAAAGAGUGUGUAGGCGGUGCUCUAAGUCUGUUGUGAAAUCUCCCGGCUUAACCGGGAGGGUGCGGCGGAAACUGGAGUGCUCGAGAUUGGGAGAGGGAUGCGGAAUUCCAGGUGUAGCGGUGAAAUGCGUAGAUAUCUGGAGGAACACCGGUGGCGAAGGCGGCGUUCUGGACUGCAACUGACACUGAAGAACGAAAGCCAGGGGAGCAAACGGG
rnacentral:rRNA from 1 species